CGCACCUACCGAUUGAAUGUUUCGGUGAAGAUUCCGGACCACAACUUGCGCGCUUCACGGCGCUCUCGCCGCGGGAAGUUAUCUAAACCUCAACAUUUAGAGGAAGGUGAAGUCGUAACAAGGUUUCCGUAGGUGAACCUGCGGAAGGAUCAUUA
rnacentral:rRNA from 2 species